AGCGUACACGGUGGAUGCCCUGGCAGUCAGAGGCGAUGAAGGACGUGCUAAUCUGCGAUAAGCGUCGGUAAGGUGAUAUGAACCGUUAUAACCGGCGAUUUCCGAAUGGGGAAACCCAGUGUGAUUCGUCACACUAUCAUUAACUGAAUCCAUAGGUUAAUGAGGCGAACCGGGGGAACUGAAACAUCUAAGUACCCCGAGGAAAAGAAAUCAACCGAGAUUCCCCCAGUAGCGGCGAGCGAACGGGGAGCAGCCCAGAGCCUGAAUCAGUGUGUGUGUUAGUGGAAGCGUCUGGAAAGGCGCGCGAUACAGGGUGACAGCCCCGUACACAAAAAUGCACAUGCUGUGAGCUCGAUGAGUAGGGCGGGACACGUGGUAUCCUGUCUGAAUAUGGGGGGACCAUCCUCCAAGGCUAAAUACUCCUGACUGACCGAUAGUGAACCAGUACCGUGAGGGAAAGGCGAAAAGAACCCCGGCGAGGGGAGUGAAAAAGAACCUGAAACCGUGUACGUACAAGCAGUGGGAGCACGCUUAGGCGUGUGACUGCGUACCUUUUGUAUAAUGGGUCAGCGACUUAUAUUCUGUAGCAAGGUUAACCGAAUAGGGGAGCCGAAGGGAAACCGAGUCUUAACUGGGCGUUAAGUUGCAGGGUAUAGACCCGAAACCCGGUGAUCUAGCCAUGGGCAGGUUGAAGGUUGGGUAACACUAACUGGAGGACCGAACCGACUAAUGUUGAAAAAUUAGCGGAUGACUUGUGGCUGGGGGUGAAAGGCCAAUCAAACCGGGAGAUAGCUGGUUCUCCCCGAAAGCUAUUUAGGUAGCGCCUCGUGAAUUCAUCUCCGGGGGUAGAGCACUGUUUCGGCAAGGGGGUCAUCCCGACUUACCAACCCGAUGCAAACUGCGAAUACCGGAGAAUGUUAUCACGGGAGACACACGGCGGGUGCUAACGUCCGUCGUGAAGAGGGAAACAACCCAGACCGCCAGCUAAGGUCCCAAAGUCAUGGUUAAGUGGGAAACGAUGUGGGAAGGCCCAGACAGCCAGGAUGUUGGCUUAGAAGCAGCCAUCAUUUAAAGAAAGCGUAAUAGCUCACUGGUCGAGUCGGCCUGCGCGGAAGAUGUAACGGGGCUAAACCAUGCACCGAAGCUGCGGCAGCGACGCUUAUGCGUUGUUGGGUAGGGGAGCGUUCUGUAAGCCUGCGAAGGUGUACUGUGAGGUAUGCUGGAGGUAUCAGAAGUGCGAAUGCUGACAUAAGUAACGAUAAAGCGGGUGAAAAGCCCGCUCGCCGGAAGACCAAGGGUUCCUGUCCAACGUUAAUCGGGGCAGGGUGAGUCGACCCCUAAGGCGAGGCCGAAAGGCGUAGUCGAUGGGAAACAGGUUAAUAUUCCUGUACUUGGUGUUACUGCGAAGGGGGGACGGAGAAGGCUAUGUUGGCCGGGCGACGGUUGUCCCGGUUUAAGCGUGUAGGCUGGUUUUCCAGGCAAAUCCGGAAAAUCAAGGCUGAGGCGUGAUGACGAGGCACUACGGUGCUGAAGCAACAAAUGCCCUGCUUCCAGGAAAAGCCUCUAAGCAUCAGGUAACAUCAAAUCGUACCCCAAACCGACACAGGUGGUCAGGUAGAGAAUACCAAGGCGCUUGAGAGAACUCGGGUGAAGGAACUAGGCAAAAUGGUGCCGUAACUUCGGGAGAAGGCACGCUGAUAUGUAGGUGAAGUCCCUCGCGGAUGGAGCUGAAAUCAGUCGAAGAUACCAGCUGGCUGCAACUGUUUAUUAAAAACACAGCACUGUGCAAACACGAAAGUGGACGUAUACGGUGUGACGCCUGCCCGGUGCCGGAAGGUUAAUUGAUGGGGUUAGCGCAAGCGAAGCUCUUGAUCGAAGCCCCGGUAAACGGCGGCCGUAACUAUAACGGUCCUAAGGUAGCGAAAUUCCUUGUCGGGUAAGUUCCGACCUGCACGAAUGGCGUAAUGAUGGCCAGGCUGUCUCCACCCGAGACUCAGUGAAAUUGAACUCGCUGUGAAGAUGCAGUGUACCCGCGGCAAGACGGAAAGACCCCGUGAACCUUUACUAUAGCUUGACACUGAACAUUGAGCCUUGAUGUGUAGGAUAGGUGGGAGGCUUUGAAGUGUGGACGCCAGUCUGCAUGGAGCCGACCUUGAAAUACCACCCUUUAAUGUUUGAUGUUCUAACGUUGACCCGUGAUCCGGGUUGCGGACAGUGUCUGGUGGGUAGUUUGACUGGGGCGGUCUCCUCCUAAAGAGUAACGGAGGAGCACGAAGGUUGGCUAAUCCUGGUCGGACAUCAGGAGGUUAGUGCAAUGGCAUAAGCCAGCUUGACUGCGAGCGUGACGGCGCGAGCAGGUGCGAAAGCAGGUCAUAGUGAUCCGGUGGUUCUGAAUGGAAGGGCCAUCGCUCAACGGAUAAAAGGUACUCCGGGGAUAACAGGCUGAUACCGCCCAAGAGUUCAUAUCGACGGCGGUGUUUGGCACCUCGAUGUCGGCUCAUCACAUCCUGGGGCUGAAGUAGGUCCCAAGGGUAUGGCUGUUCGCCAUUUAAAGUGGUACGCGAGCUGGGUUUAGAACGUCGUGAGACAGUUCGGUCCCUAUCUGCCGUGGGCGCUGGAGAACUGAGGGGGGCUGCUCCUAGUACGAGAGGACCGGAGUGGACGCAUCACUGGUGUUCGGGUUGUCAUGCCAAUGGCACUGCCCGGUAGCUAAAUGCGGAAGAGAUAAGUGCUGAAAGCAUCUAAGCACGAAACUUGCCCCGAGAUGAGUUCUCCCUGACUCCUUGA
rnacentral:rRNA from 1 species